UACGAAGGGGGCUAGCGUUGCUCGGAAUCACUGGGCGUAAAGGGCGCGUAGGCGGGAUGGCAAGUCAGUCGUGAAAUCUCCGGGCUUAACCCGGAAAGGUCAGCCGAUACUGCGGGGCUAGAGUGCAGAAGGGGCAACUGGAAUUCUCGGUGUAGCGGUGAAAUGCGUAGAUAUCGAGAGGAACACCUGCGGCGAAGGCGGGUUGCUGGGCUGACACUGACGCUGAUGCGCGAAAGCUAGGGGAGCGAACGGG
rnacentral:rRNA from 1 species